UUGCAGCUAUUCCUGAUAGCUUCUCCCACCCCACAGUUAGGCAGUUACUUCCCUUUGGUUUCAGAUAUGCCUUUUAAGAACGAAGUCACCAAAUGCAAUUUGAGAAGUAACAGAACCUGCUAACUUGGAGGAGCUAAGGACUGCCCUGUCCAGGGGCAUAUUGCAGAGGCUGUGGAAGUGGCAAGUUGGUAGAGACUGCUGGAGAGCAGCUUUCAGGGUCUUGCUUUGUAGUCCUAAGGUCAUCCUUGAACUCCAGAUCCGUUGGCUGUCACUAUCUGAGUUCUGGCAUCACAGAAACAUUGAAUGGUGCUGAAAUUCAUGUCUGUGGAGUGAGAUGGAUAAUAUCUCUUUCACCGGGCCUCCACGAAGGCAAGGGCUGUUUUCAUCCUUUUAAGGGACCAAGGUAAAUGGUUUAUUGUUGAGAGGAAAACAGGAUCUGAUGGAAUCUAAGAAAGAGUUUGCCCCACAGGUCAGGUAAUUUGGACCUGCUGCCAAGAAUUCAAAAUAGGACAAAACAGCAACCAACACAUCGGGAAAAGAUAUUUACCAAUCCUACAUCCGAUAGAGG